rnacentral:rRNA from 1 species
UACGGGGGGGGCAAGCGUUGUUCGGAAUUACUGGGCGUAAAGGGCUCGUAGGCGGCCAACUAAGUCAGACGUGAAAUCCCUCGGCUUAACCGGGGAACUGCGUCUGAUACUGGAUGGCUUGAGUUCGGGAGAGGGAUGCGGAAUUCCAGGUGUAGCGGUGAAAUGCGUAGAUAUCUGGAGGAACACCGGUGGCGAAGGCGGCAUCCUGGACCGACACUGACGCUGAGGAGCGAAAGCCAGGGGAGCAAGCGGGAUUAAGAUGACCCGGGUA